AAAAAAAAAAAAAAAAAUCUACCCCAAACAAAACAAAACCCAAUUCUCUUCUAAAAACUAAAACUAAAACCCGUCCUGCUCUCUCUUCUCAGAAACCCAAAAAUCAAAACUCUCUCCUUCCCCCAAAAUCAAACUCCAAAACUCAGAUGAGAAAGAAGUAAGCGAUCAAAGGUAGAGCUGAUCAGAUACAAGGAGUCUCGCACCCACCUUCAAACGCCUCCCCUUCUAUUGCUGCGAGCCCAUUAAAGGAAGAAGCAGUAGCAACAGCAGCCACAGUAGUUCGCCAUUGCUGCCUCGUAAACCAUAGGUUGGUGAGAUUAUUAGCAGUUUUGAGAAGAAGGGUUUCUCUUUGAAAGAAGUGUGGCAAUAAUAAUAUCAAAUAAGGAUACAAGAUAUGAAUUAGAUUCAAUCGUAUCCUUUGUUCAUAUUUGAGUUCUGGUGGAAGAACUUCCUGCUGUUUGUGAUAGCUUGAGUUUCUUUGUGAGUAAAGGAAAAGGCUAAGCUCCAAGUAGGAAUUAGAUUACAUUUAAGGUUGGGGAAGAACGCUUUUCCAUUGAGUUAGACGAGAACAACCAAGUGUGGUAUGAACUACUUUCCUUUUCAAAACCGGCCCACUUUUUGCCAUUUAUUGGGUAUCAUUGCAUUAUUUAUUUCUGUUAUGACUCUGUGUAAAACAUAAAGCAAACAACAUGACUCCUUUAUUUAGGCAUUGUUGCUGGAUUAUGUUCAUAUAGGUCAUUUUAAACCACAUGUUUGGUAUGAAACUAGCAUCACACUCUUGCAUCCACACUGGUUAUUCGGCACAUAUUCAUGAACAUACAAACAACAUCAUUACAAUUUUAAUUGUCAAGCAAUCUUUUUUAACUCACUUCUGACCAAUGACCGAAGUAAUUAAGCAUCAUGGUAUUACGGAUUUAAUAAUUUUACAAUUACAUUCAUAUGUGAUUUGUUAAUAUCUUUUUAAAACAAUUAUGCUUAAAUUCUUUUAGAGCUUAUCACACUGAGUUAGUCUUCAAUAAGUGUUGUAUGUUCUAAGAAAAUUUAAGCGUACUUGGGUAUGUUUGUUCUUAACAAAUCACAUAUGAAUCUAAUUCUAAUAAUUAUUACCUUCAUAAUAACACAUUUUGUUGUAAGUAAACUUCCGUAAAUAUUGUAUCGCAAUGGAUAAAAGUUGGAUGGACAAGAGGAGGGAUUCAAGGGAAGAUUCUAAUUCUCAGGGAUUUUCAUGUUCAAUUGAAGGGGAGGAUUGCUUUUUUACAAGAAGGCAAAAUGGAUUCGAACAAUUUAAAAGACAAAUUGGAGAUUGUAGAGGAAAAUUGUACAUUUUUCGAUUCUGAACUAUCACUGCUUAUGCUUUCCUUUAUGGAACCAAAAGUAUUCGUUCUAAAUGCUCCAACCAUCUUCAUACAGCAGGAGCCAGGGGUGGGUUUUGUAAUAGAACCACCUAUUGAUGAGAUUGGACUUAGAAAUCAGCCAUUUCAUAGAGCCUUGAUAAAGUUGGAAAAUAGCCUUAAACAAUAGAGUGAAGAAAUAACCAAGCUAAUCUCUCUUUUAGAUGAAAAUGAGAUGGAGGAGGCUUAUGAGGUGGCAAUGAAGUUGGUAGAUGUGGUGCUGGAUUGCAAAGAAACCAAAAUUCUCAACCUUAAGCAUUUCAUUCGGCGGGAGCAACUGAAUCCUUGAAAUUCAAGCAGCCACAACUUUUGUCCUGUGCAUGGUUGUUUUUUUGGUAAUACAAUUCUACCUUAGAUU